rnacentral:misc_RNA from 1 species
UCCGGUUUGUCACCGGCAGUCUCAUUAGAGUGCCCAACUGAAUGUAGCAACUAAUGACAAGGGUUGCGCUCGUUGCGGGACUUAACCCAACAUCUCACGACACGAGCUGACGACAGCCAUGCAGCACCUGUGCAUGCUCCCCUUGCGGGGUCGUCCCACUUUCAUGGUUCUACCACAUGCAUGUCAAGGCCAGGUAAGGUUCUUCGCGUUGCAUCGAAUUAAGCCACAUACUCCACCGCUUGUGCAGGCCCCCGUCAACUUCUUUGAGUUUUAAUCUUGCGACCGUACUUCCCAGGCGGCACGUUUAUCGCGUUAGCUUCGCCACAAAAGGGGUCGAUUCCUCCCACAUCGAGUGCCCAUCGUUUACGGCGUGGACUAC